UGUGCUGCUGGCGUUUGGGGAGUGGGAGGGUUAGAAUGUUUGCCAUUAUUUUAGCGGCUGGAAGGGAAGACGAAAGAGCCAGUGGCGUGGUCCCGGUGUCUGUGUUCAAGAUGAGUACGCGCGAUCCCGCGUAGAUACUGCAGCAGGGCCGAGGAGCCUGUCGGCUGCACGCCCUUGUAUCGGGGACUAAGUUCGACGGUAGACGUGAGCUUUAACCUAGAAGGCAACCCUGAGAAUGGAGCGGUGUUGGGCCUGCGGGCGGUGACUCCACACUGCUGGGGGCAGAUCCUGCUGCUUCCACUUACCGGCGGGGUAAUCUCGGGCCUCAGUCUCCUCAUCUGUACAAUGGGGGUGAGGAUAGCGGCGUGUGGUGGCUGGGGAGAUUGAGUGAGUUCAUACGUGCAAAGCGCUUAGACUAGUGCGGGGCACUUAGAAACGGCUCGUAAGGUUUAUUACACGUCUAAGAGGCCGCUGGGGCUCCGAGAGGUGAAGUAACUUGUCUGAGACCUUAAGUAGUGGAGUCGGGACUUGAACCCGCUCAUCUCUGGCCCUAGAGCCGCGUUUCUCAACCGCGACUCCCCUGACGUCUCGGACCAGGGAGCUCUUUGCUGUGAGGACUGGCCUGUGCAUCAUAGCAGGUGGCUGUGUCUCUGGCCUCUGCCCACUGAAUGCCAGGAGCGAGAGCUUGUCCCCUGUUGUAACCACCAGAAACGUCCCCCGAUAUUGCCAAGUGUCCCCGGGGAUGGGGACAGAUUCAUUCCUGGUGGAGAAGCUCUGGGCGAGAGGGUCUCGCAGCAGCGUGAUUUCUCAGUUCCAGGUUAAAAGCCCAGUUCCUAGUUAUCAGUUCUUUAAAAGCCAGCGGUUGGAGAAAACUGGAACCCUGUUGGCUGGUGUCUACGCACGCGGCAGCCGAGAAGUCCCUGUGUUAGGCCCAGGCCAGCAGCUUCUUGGCGUGUUUUUGAGACUUUUUUUCCCUCCCUUUGGCUUAGGCAUGUUUCUAGCAGACUGUGGGGCAGGCCAGGCCCUGGGGCUGGUCUGAGUUUCUCUCUGCGGCAGUGUCUGCGCAGCCGGGCCACUCAGGCAGCCGUCCCUUGGAAGCGCAGCCGGUGGGUCUCACUGGAGUCAGUGUGGGGAGCCUGGAACAGAGGGGUCCGCAGAGAAGAGGGGAGCUGACAUCCGUGUUUGCCGCGUGCUGAUGCCACCUCACUCAGUUGCUGUUCUCCCUUGCGUGUUUCUGUGUCUUUUCCUCCACCUUCUGCUCUUUCCUGGGCUCUCUUGCUGCCUCACCAUCUUCAAUGUGUCCCAGGGACGGGCUGUGGCUCAGAGCAUUGGGCCAGACGUGGGCUGUGAGCAGGGCUGACGCGCUCUUGGCACCCAGCUGCUGAUUCCGCUCUCUAGGCCUCAUUUGCAAGAGAUAUGUUGGCCAGACACUCAGGGUCUGUGACCAGCUUCUUAGAAACCUCUCAGAGUGAGCAGCACGGGGGUGGUGUGGGGGUGAGGGCGGAGGGGGAAGGGUUUUUUCUUUAGGUAAAGCUCCAGCGUUUGGGCCACUUGAGGAAAACUACCCCGGGUCCCAUCCCAGGAGUCGUUAUUAGAGGUUAAGGGUUUUACAUCAUUGGGGUUCACGGUGUGGGGGUCCAGCAUUUUCUGUUCUGGUCCAGAUCUUACGCGCCCCUCUUUUGGCUGCAAGCUCUUUUCCCGGCGUGCUCUGCUCCUGUUUGAUGGAAAGAUGCUGUUUGACCUUGUGUUGAAUUGCGGUUGGGAUACAGGCAGUUCUCGAGUGCUGACAGGUCCGGAGGUGCCGUUCGCGUGAAAAGCCCUCCCGACACCUGCCUUUGUGUGAGUGUGACGCCUUCUCUGUGCUCAUUGGAAGGCCGAGGCUUUUUCCCAGCUCUAAAAUCAGGAUGCAGGAAGAUGUCACGGCAGGUGGACUGCGGAAGACGCUCCCCCGUCGGUGAAUUAGCCCCUGGUCUCCGCUGGGGGGCUGCCUCUUGAGCGAGCACGUGCCCCAACAGGGAGAGAGCACACAUCAUCAAGGACUUCUGGAAAGGGCUCUCAGCGCUUUCCUCCCUGCCUGGAGGGCGACCCAUUGGCCCAGCUACCCGCUAACAUCUGCCGAGUCCCAGCCAGACGUGGUGCUGGGGACGCACCCACGACAGCCUGCAGGAGCUCCCAGUGGGUCCAGGGAUCCACGUGGAAUGAACGCCCAGAGCGGGAGAGGCAGAGCCAGGCCCCCAGCGUGGUCACACCCAGCGUCGUUGCUCCUGUCGCCUCGCUAGCACUGUUUGGGCUUGAGCAGCGUCGUUGAGGGAAAUGAGUUUCAGGUUUUGAUGAAGUUUAAUGAAAACCCGGAAUCCCUCCGCUUGGAUGCAGACUCUCUUCUGUGUGUAGAAAUACAUGCGAAAUGCAAGGUUGGGAGCUCCCGUUUGGGGCUUUGGGUGGAUGGCCUGCCUGCUGUUUCCUCGGUUUUCUCUUUGAUCCUGCACCUUUAUGGGGAUGCUUGUCCCUGUUAGGGACGCGUCGUCAGACUCCAGUUGAGCUUCCUGGAAGAGAACCCCAUUGGGCUGAAGUCGCCUGGACUGUCCUUCGGGCUGCGUGCUUCUGUGAGACUGGGUGGUGUGAAGCCUGCGGAGCCCGGAGCCUCUGGCGUCAGCCUCUGUCUCCAGCUCCCCUGCUUUUUUCGGGGCUCCCACCUGGUGAGAGCAGGGCUGUAGCCAAACAGGUGGGCCUCCAGGCAGGCUCAUGAUUCAACCCCACCCUCACAGAUCAUCUAGUAACCUAUGCAGCCAGGAACCGGAGAGGUGCUGGAUGGAUAGUUUAUUUUCGGGUAGGGGCACUAGCUUCUUGAGCCCACUGCAUUUUCCACUGGCAUUUUCUUGUGCAGCAGCUGCCGCUCACCGGCCCCACAGUUCCGACGCCCCCUGCGCUGGUGCAGAGUCUCAUAGAGAACGAUUCUCCAGGCAGCUGCCUGGCUGUCCCCUCAUCGCCCAGACCUGGAGGCAGGGUUCUAGAAUCAGACACACAUGCUCUUGAAUCCUGGCUUCACCACUUAGCAGCUGGGCGACAGUGGGGACGUGCCUUCACUUCUCUGAGCCUCAGACCUUCGUUGGUAAAAUGGGCCAGGGAGUCAAUAAGAAAUGUAUAAAAAGGGCCUGUGACAGUGACUGUCCCUUAGUUCUUCAAAACUUUUUUUUUUUUUCCACUGUACAGCAUGGGGACCAAGUUACACAUACAUGUAUACAUACUUUUUCCUCCCAUUGUUGUGUUGCGGUGUGAGUAUCUAGACAUAGUUCUCAAUGCUACACAGCAGGAUAUCAUUGUAAAUCCAUUCCAAGAGCAAUAGUUUGCAUCCCUUCACCCCAGGCUCCCAAUCCCUCCCACUCCCUUCCUCUCCCCCCGGAGCAGCCACAAGUCUAUUCUCUCUCAAGUCUAUGAUUUUCUUUUCUGUGGAAACAUUCAUUUGUGCUGUAUAUUAGAUUCCAGUUGUAGGUGAUAUCAUAUGGUAUUUGUCUUUCUCUUUCUGACUUAUUUCAUUCAGAAUGAGAGUCUCUAGUUCCAUCCAUGUUGCUGCGAAUGGCAUUAUGUCAUUCUUUUUUAUGGCUAAGUAGUAUUCCAUUGUGUAUAUAUGCCACAUCUUCCUAAUCCAAUCCUCUGUCGAUGGGCAUUUGGGUUGUUUCCAUAUCUUGGCUAUUGUGAAUAGUGCUGUAAUGAACAUGCAGGUGCAUGUAUCUUUUUCAAGGAAAGUUUUGUCCGGAUAUAUGCCCAAGAGUGGGAUUGCUGGGUCAUAUGGAAGUUCUAUGUAUAGAUUUCUAAGGUAUCUCCAUACUGUUCUCCAUUGUGGCUGUACCAGCUUACAUUCCCACCAACAGUGCAGGAGGGUUCCCUUUUCUCCACACCCCCUCCAGCAUUUGUUAUUUGUGGACCUAUUAGUGAUGGCCAUUCUGACUGGUGUGAGGUGGUAUCUCCUGGUUGUUUGAUUUGCAUUUCUCUAAUAAUCAGAGAUGUUGAGCAUUGUUUUAUGUACUUGUUGGCCAUCUGUAUAGCUUCCUUGGAGAACGGUCUAUUCAGGUCUUUUGCCCAUUUUUCCAUUGGGUGGUUGGCUUUUUUGCUGUUGUGUUGUGUAAGCUGCUUGUAUAUUCUAGAAAUUAGGCCCUUUUGCGUUGCAUCGUUUGAAACUAUUUUCUCCCAUUCUGUAAGUUGUCUUUUUGUUUUCUCUUUGGUUUCCUUUGCUUUGCAAAAGCUUGUCCGUUUGAUUAGGUCCCAUGGGUUUGUUUUUGCUCUUAUUUCUGUUGCCUUGGGAGACUGACCUGAGAAGAUAUUCAUGGGGUUGAUGUCAGAGAGUGUUUUGCCUGUGUUCUCUUCCAGGACUCUGAUGGUGUCUUGUCUUCUAUUUAAGUCUUUCAGCCAUUUUGAGUUUAUUUUUGUGCGUGGUAAUUCUUCAAAACUUAGCUGAGUUCGCGUUUGGAGUGGAUAAGCAAUGAGAUCCUGCUAUGUAGCACAGGGAAUUCCAGUCGUUUAUGAGGGAGCCUGCUGGAGGAUAAUGUGGGAAAAAGAAUGUAUUGGGAGUUCCCGUUGUGACUCAGCGGUUGACGAAUCCGACUAGGAACCAUGAGGUUGUGGGUUCGAUCCCUGGCCUUGCUCAGUGGGUUAAUGAUCCGGCAUAGCUGUGGCUAUGGUGUGGGCUGGUGGACAACUCCGAUUAGACCCCUAGCCUGGGAACCUCCAUAUGUGGUAGGUGCGGCCCUGUAAAGACAAAAAGAGACGAAAAAAACCCAGAAUGUAUAUAUAUAUGUGUGUGUGUGUAUAAAGAGACAGCCUUGAUGACUCAGCUAAUAAUAAUCACCACUCCUUCCUGUUUCUCGGGUGCGAUUUGAGUCUCCGUCUUGGCUCCCGGGUCUUGACACCCUUGCUCUCUGUAAGGUGCCUGGGAUGCUCUCUCUGCGGCUCUCCCUUGGCUCCUCUCUGCUAACGGGCUGCUCCACUCUGCGUUUCUUUCUGGACAGGCCUCCCCUCUCCUCACGUGUCUGCCACACUUGCCUGAAAACACCUGCUGCUUGAGAGCUUAGGUGGGUCUUUACCAGUGAAGACUUGAGUCCGUUGAGUGAACGUAGGACUCCUGGGGUGGUGGGGACGGUCCGUCUCUCCACUGUCCCGAAAAGUCACCCCUCAUCACGGGAGGCGGGCGAGGACGUGAAGCGGGUGCACCUGAGCGAGUGGGAUUUUAAUUCUAUGUCAUCGUCAUUAAACUUAAAGAGCCACAUGUGGCUCGUGGUGCCGUUUCGGUGCGAGUGUAGGAAAUGCAGCACCUGGAAGCAUCAAAUCACUUACGCCGCGUGGGAAUUUGGGAUGAUUUAUCCUUAAUCUGGGUGCUCAGUUCUAAGAGAAUCCAGUUUUGUCAGAGGACCCGCGCGGGUCCUCAGAAUGCCUCUUGCCUCUUCCCUGCCCACCCGGGGAGGUGGAAGAAACGUGAUGUACCGGCUGCCGUCGUGGGGCCUCCACCCUCCUCCACUCCAGCCCGGGCUGCCUGAUGACUGGGUGCUCAUGGGGCGGACCCCAAACUCAGGGUGCCACAUCCUUCAGUCGGGGACCUGCUCCCUCCUGGCUGGGGACUGUAUUUUACCUUUAGGGAAGGGAUCGACAUUUGUCGGGCUAGAAGCUUCUGUCAUUUGGGGGACCUCAUUAAGACAAAGAAUGUAAGAUUGCAAAUCCAGGAGUUCCCUGGUGACCCAGUAGUUAGGGAUCUGGCGUUGUCACUGCUGUGGUGCAGGUUUGAGCCCUGGCCCGGGAACUUUCCAUGCCACAGGUGUGCCCCCCGCCAAAAAAAGGAUUACAAACACCAAAUUAGAUGUGGAAGGGAAAAUUUCAAAUCCUAUCCAACAUACGUUUUAAAAGACUGAUCUGUAGCACAAACUUUACAAAACCCAGAAAAAUAGAGUAUCUUGAAGAAUUAUGAGUCUGUCAGACCUGUGCAAUGCUUUGUUUCCCCUUAACAUCUGUUGGCUGAAAGCUCAUCGAUCACCUUUUCAUAUGAUAAUGAUGUUGUAAUUUUUCUUUAGAGGCGGGAAAGAUCUUUUGCUUUUCUUCCAGUGUGAUCGAUAAAGUUGAGUUUCAUUUAUUUAUUUACUUAGCUUUUUAGGGCUGUUCCUGCGGCAUAGGGAGGCUCCCAGGCCUGGGAUCUAAUCAGGCUGCUGGCCUGCACCACGGCCACAGCAAUGCAGGAUCCAAGCCGAUUCUUCAACCUGCACCACAGCUCAUCGCUGGGUCCUUAACCCACUGAGCUGGUCCAGGGAUCGAACCUGCAUCCUCAUGGAUACUAGUCAGAUUCCUUACCGCUGAGCCACGGCGGGGACUCCAAUCAAAUUGGAUUUUAUUCCUGAUAGUCACAAUGCUUCACACGGAGGCAUCCACUUUUGGUUGUACGGCUGCAGGUUUGGGUCCUAAAGUGCAUGAAUGCUGGUAAAAUCCAUUUUACAUAAUUCCCGUCGAAAAGGGAAAACGUGUCUGGUGUGUUUAUGACCACAUUUGAUGGUGUGUCAUCAAAUGUGCUUGUGGCAGGAGAGGACGUCCCUCUUUGAGCUGGUGUCCUUGCAGGAGGGCUAAAUUCUCCAGUUCCACCUGUUCGAUGACUGGAAGGCGUGUCCCCGCGCGGCUCUGGCUCUGAGUAUUCCGUCUUCGUCCUGGCUCCGCCGCACACACACCUCGGUGCCAGGUGUGCACCCUGGGUCUCCGUGGCAGGGAGUGGCCCAGUGGGCAGUGGGCAGAUCCCUGGAAGCCGCAGGGGCAGCUCCGGAGGCCGCUGGCAGUAAGCUGCCCCUGCCCUGAAGGGACUGCCACCCACAGUUCUCCAUCCCACUGUAUCCAAACGAAGUGUUUCCCCCUUUGCUGGACCCCGCAGGGCCUGUAGCUGCCUUAACGCCACUUGGCAUGAGGGAAAACGCAGCAGGAGGAGACAUGAGAGUGGCAGAAGCAGGGCUCCUGACAAUUUGCAGCUGAAAAUACCUUAAUUUGGGAGUUCCCGCUGUGUGCAGUGGGUUAAGAAUCUGACUGCAGCAACUUAGGUUGAUGUAGAGCUGCAGGUUUGAUCCCCGGCCCAGUGCAGUGGGUUAAAGGAUCUGGCGUUGCUGCACCUGUGGCUCUGAUUCAGUCCCUGGUCUGAGAACUUCCACAUGCCGCAAGCGUGACCAUUAAAAAACAAAAGCAGGAGUUCCCGUCAUGGCUCAGCGGUUAACGAAUCCGUCUAGCAUCCAUGAGGAGGCGGGUUCCAUCCCUGGCCUUGCUCAGGGGGUUAAGGAUCCAGCGUUGCCGUGAGCUGUGGUGUAGGUUGCAGACGUGGCUCGGAUCCCGCGUUGCUGUGGCUCUGACGUAGGCCGACGUCUACAGCUCUGAUUAGACCCCUAGCCUGGGAACCUCCAUAUGCCGUGAGUGCAGCCCUAAAAAACAAAACAAAACAAACAGAAAAGCCCCCAAAAAGGUAAAAACAAAAACAAAACCCGUUAUUUAUAAAAUUUCAAAAAAAAAAAA
ensembl:lncRNA